GAUGAACGCUGGCGGCAUGCCUAAUACAUGCAAGUCGAGCGAAUGGAUUGAGAGCUUGCUCUUAUGAAGUUAGCGGCGGACGGGUGAGUAACACGUGGGUAACCUGCCCAUAAGACUGGGAUAACUCCGGGAAACCGGGGCUAAUACCGGAUAACAUUUUGAACCGCAUGGUUCGAAAUUGAAAGGCGGCUUCGGCUGUCACUUAUGGAUGGACCCGGGUCGCAUUAGCUAGUUGGUGCGGUAACGGCUCACCAAGGCAACGAUGCGUAGCCGACCUGAGAGGGUGAUCGGCCACACUGGGACUGAGACACGACCCAGACUCCUACGGGAGGCAGCAGUAGGGAAUCUUCCGCAAUGGACGAAAGUCUGACGGAGCAACGCCGCGUGAGUGAUGAAGGCUUUCGGGUCGUAAAACUCUGUUGUUAGGGAAGAACAAGUGCUAGUUGAAUAAGCUGGCACCUUGACGGUACCUAACCAGAAAGCCACGGCUAACUGCGUGCCAGCCGCCGCCGUAA
rnacentral:rRNA from 1 species